rnacentral:rRNA from 1 species
AUUGAACGCUGGCGGCAUGCUUUACACAUGCAAGUCGAACGGUAACAGGCCUUCGGGUGCUGACGAGUGGCGAACGGGUGAGUAAUGCAUCGUAACGUACCCAGAGGUGGGGGAUAACGCAGCGAAAGCUGUGCUAAUACCGCAUGUGAUCUGAGGAUGAAAGCUGGGGACCGAGCAGCAAUGUUUGGCCUCGCGCCUUUGGAGCGGCCGAUGUCGGAUUAGCUAGUUGGUGGGGUAAAGGCCGACCAAGGCGACGAUCCGUAGCUGGUCUGAGAGGACGACCAGCCACACUGGAACUGAGACACGCCCCAGACUCCUACGGGGGGCAGCAGUGGGGAAUUUUGGACAAUGGGCGCAAGCCUGAUCCAGCAAUGCCGCGUGCGGGAAGAAGGCCUUCGGGUUGUAAACCGCUUUUGGCAGGAACGAAACGGUGUCCGCUAAUACCGGGCGCUAAUGACGGUACCUGAAGAAUAAGCACCGGCUAACUACGUG